rnacentral:rRNA from 1 species
AUGAACGCUGGCGGCGUGCCUAAUACAUGCAAGUCGAGCGAACGGACGAGAAGCUUGCUUCUCUGAUGUUAGCGGCGGACGGGUGAGUAACACGUGGAUAACCUACCUAUAAGACUGGGAUAACUUCGGGAAACCGUAGCUAAUACCGGAUAAUAUUUUGAACCGCAUGGUUCAAAAGUGAAAGACGGUCUUGCUGUCACUUAUAGAUGGAUCCGCGCUGCAUUAGCUAGUUGGUAGGGUAACGGCUUACCAAGGCAACGAUGCAUAGCCGACCUGAGAGGGUGAUCGGCCACACUGGAACUGAGACACGGUCCAGACUCCUACGGGAGGCAGCAGUAGGGAAUCUUCCGCAAUGGGCGAAAGCCUGACGGAGCAACGCCGCGUGAGUGAUGAAGGUCUUCGGAUCGUAAAACUCUGUUAUUAGGGAAGAACAUAUGUGUAAGUAACUGUGCACAUCUUGACGGUACCUAAUCAGAAAGCCACGGCUAACUACGUG